GACGUCCAUCUUGCAAUAUCAGGGAUUGGAUCAUUUUUCCGUGACUUAUGCAGUCGAUCAUUGGAGAUAAGUCAUGUCCAAGUCCUGAAAGCGAAUAUUGUGAUGAUUUUGUGCAAUUUGGAGAAAAUAUUCCCACCUUCGUUCUUUGAUGUCAUGGAGCACCUUCCUGUACAUCUACCAUACGAAGCCGAACUUGGUGGUCCAGUCCAGUAUAGGUGGAUGUAUCCCUUCGAAAGGUUUUUCAAACGCUUGAAAGGGAAGGCGAAGAACAAAAGAUAUCCAGCGGGAUCAAUCGUUCAAUCAUAUAUUAAUGAUGAGAUAUCAUACUUCUCAGAACACUACUUUGCUUCAACCAUUUCUACAGCUAGUAGAAGGAGGUCAUUGCGAUAUGAUGCGGGUGAGGUUCCUGUAUAUCUAGUACCC